CCCCUCUCAGGACUGCAUCUGGAGAGUUUCCUGUACUCUACCAGUUUCAGCUAUAGGAGGGAGAGUUAAGUAGAGGCAUACCCAUUCCAUUCCUACCUCGGGCAAUGGUUAGCAAGUGGAAGGCAAUCUGCUACAAGU